rnacentral:lncRNA from 10 species
GUUGCCUGCAGAAAACGUCCUGCAGAAUGUUCCAGGAAUUUGAUCUCCAUGUACUGUUCUGAGAGGCUAGCCUGCGGAGAAUGAAAGUAAGGAGCAAGCAAGUGAUCAUUACUCACCACCUCAAUCCACCCAAGGGCUUUCACCUGGAACCCAAAGUGCGUAAGUAAUUAAGAUUUGUGUUCUUUGGGGAAAGGAGUAUCGACAAAGAUGUAGCUUGCUUCUCAUGUGAGAAAAGUACUUACAUACCUACACAGUUCUACUUGGAAGGCCUAUGCAUUUUACUAUAUGUAAAUUACAACUCAAUUUUAAAAAAAUCUACUAGCAAAGACACCCAUUCUCUCAGGGAACUUGCCCUUAUUUAACCUACAGCUAUAAAUGACAGGGUUCUCUAGAACCAUAUACUUUGUCCCAUAAACGAAGCAGUAAAAAAACCUGAAUAUCUUCCCUCCAACUAAAAUUACAUUAUUUUUCUCAGUUAAAUCUUCCAUUCAAUUACAAUGGACUAUCACUAUACUAUCUGGGUGAGCAAAAGGUAUAAUUUACAAGAAACUUACAGAGCUGAAGGGAUGAGAGAACUAUAACCCUGCAAAGUUGUGUGAGCAUCUGAGGUCCUACACAAACCAGUGGCCUAGAGAACAGGCCUCUAACCUCCCUUAGCCUGGAGUGGCCAGAGCACAAGUGGUCUCAACACAUAACAGAAAGAAUGGACAUUUUCUGGCCAGGCACGGUGGCUCACGCCUGUAAUCCCAGCACUCUGGGAGACCGAGACGGGUGGAUCACCUGAGGUCAGGAGUUCAAGACCAGCCUGGCCAACAUGGUGAAACCCCGUCUCUACUUAAAAAAAAAAAAAAAAAUACCAAAAAAAAAAAAAAAAAAUUUAGCCGGGUAAGGUGGCAGGUGCCUGUAAUCCCAGCUACUUGGGAGGCUAAGGCAGGAGAAUUGCUUGAACCCAGGUGGCGAAGGUUGCAGUGAGCCGAGU